UACGAAGGGGGCUAGCGUUGUUCGGAAUUACUGGGCGUAAAGCGUGCGCAGGCGGUUUUGUAAGCCAGAUGUGAAAUCCCCGGGCUUAACCUGGGAAUGGCAUUUGGGACUGCAAGGCUUGAGUUUGGCAGAGGAGACUGGAAUUCCUGGUGUAGCAGUGAAAUGCGUAGAUAUCAGGAGGAAUACCGAUGGCGAAGGCAGGUCUCUGGGGCUAGAACUGACGCUCAUGCACGAAAGCGUGGGGAGCAAACAGG
rnacentral:rRNA from 1 species